rnacentral:rRNA from 1 species
GAUGAACGCUGGCGGCGUGCCUAAUACAUGCAAGUCGAGCGAACGGACGAGAAGCUUGCUUCUCUGAUGUUAGCGGCGGACGGGUGAGUAACACGUGGAUAACCUACCUAUAAGACUGGGAUAACUUCGGGAAACCGGAGCUAAUACCGGAUAAUAUUUUGAUCCGCAUGGUUCAAAAGUGAAAGACGGUCUUGCUGUCACUUAUAGAUGGAUCCGCGCUGCAUUAGCUAGUUGGUAAGGUAACGGCUUACCAAGGCAACGAUGCAUAGCCGACCUGAGAGGGUGAUAGGCCACACUGGAACUGAGACACGGUCCAGACGCCUACGGGAGGCAGCAGUAGGGAAUCUUCCGCAGUGGGCGAAAGCAUGACGGAGCAACGCCGCGUGAGUGAUGAAGGUCUUCGGAUCGUAAAACUCUGUUAUUAGGGAAGAACAUAUGUGUAAGUAACUGUGCACAUCGUGACGGUACCUAAUCAGAAAGCCACGGCUAACUACGUG